CAGCACCUCAAGUGGUCAGGAUGAUUAUUGGGCCUAAAGCAUCCGUAGCCGGCGCUGUAAGUUUUCGGUUAAAUCUGUACGCUCAACGUACAGGCUGCCGGGAAUACUGCAGCGCUAGGGAGUGGGAGAGGUAGACGGUACUCGGUAGGAGGGGGUAAAAUCCUUUGAUCUAUUGAUGACCACCUGUGGCGAAGGCGGUCUACCAGAACACGUCCGACGGUGAGGGAUGAAAGCUGGGGGAGCAAACCGGAUUAGAGACCCGAGUAGUCC
rnacentral:rRNA from 1 species